UGUGAGUGUUACAUUUUAGUGUUGUGUCGUUGUUCUCCUCUUAUAUUUAAUGUGUUUCCCUCGGUUUUAGUUUGUUACCCCGAUUUUGUUUUUUGUCCAUGGAUUUAUGAGUUUUGAACAGCGGUAUACUACUGUUGCCUUUAUUUAUUACAUUUAGAUAAUGCAAACUUAAGUAAUUAGAGAACGAAAACGAGAAAUUGUGCAUUUUUUUUCAAUUUGUAAAUGAACAUCAUUCUAGAACCGAAAAAGUGACGCCACCAUAAUUCAAACUUGCUCUGUUUUUUUUGUUUUUUUUUUUGUGGUAAUAACCAUAGGCAUAAGUUUUUAACAUUUGAUAAAGGCAAAGUAAAGUAAGUUUUUACGGAAACUAGUUUUGUUCGGAACGUACGUACGGACAUAUGUAUAGACAGAUGGACGGAUGUUCAGACGAACAAGGGUUACAC
rnacentral:lncRNA from 1 species